AUAAACGGCCAUACCACCCUGAACGCGCCCCAUCUCUUCUGAUCUCGGAAGCUAAGCAGGGUCGGGCCUGGUUAGUACUUGGAUGGAAGACAAUUUGAACUAUAUGUGCACUAAACU
rfam:Mesocricetus auratus contig030401, whole genome shotgun sequence.